rnacentral:rRNA from 1 species
AUAGCCUAACGGCUGAACCAGCAACUUGGAGGAAUGUAUAGCAAUAGCUAGUUGUGCUAAAAUUUUUAGCGCAAAAUCGACUAUGUCGAAUAAAAUUCUAGGUAUAACUAUGAUAAUGACAUUAUCUAUCUAUAAGUCUUGACCAAAUUACGUGCCAGCAGUCGCGGUAAUACGUAAAAGACUAGUGUUAUUCAUCUUUAAUAGGUUUAAAGGGUACUUAGACGGUAAAUAAAGCCUGAGAGGGGACUCAUUUGCUAGAGUUAAAUAUGAGGGAGUUUGAAAGUACUUUUGGUGUAGAGAUGAAAUUUUGUGAUACCAUUAUGGCACAGGUUUAGGCGAAAGCAUCUUCUUAUGUAAUAACUGACGUUGAAGGACGAAGGCUUUGUGUCUCGAACAGGAUUAGAUACCCUAGUAGUCUAAGCAGACAAUGAUGAAUGUCAUAGAUUAGAUUUAAUUUAGUCUAUAAAUGAAAGUGUAAGCAUUCCACCUCAAGAGUAAUUUGGCAACAUUGGAACUGAAAUCAUUAGACCGUUUCUGAAACCAGUAGUGAAGUAUGUUGUUUAAUUUGAUAAUCCGCAAAAAACCUUACCACAAUUUGAAUAUAUAUAAUAUAAUACAAGCGUUGCACGGCUGUCUUCAGUUAAUGUCGUGAGACUUUGGUUAGUUCCAUUAAAUUAACGUAAACCCUU